rnacentral:rRNA from 1 species
AUUGAACGCUGGCGGCGUGCUUAACACAUGCAAGUCGAGCGGUAACAGGUGUAGCAAUACAUGCUGACGAGCGGCGAACGGGUGAGUAAUGCUUCGGAAUCUUCCUAGUAGUGGGGAAUAACCUGGGGAAACUCAGGCUAAUAACGCAUACGAACUACGGUUGAAAGCAGGGGAUCGCAAGACCUUGCGCUACUAGAUGAGCCGAAGUCGGAUUAGCUAGUUGGUGAGGUAACGGCUCACCAAGGCGACGAUCCGUAGCUGGUCUGAGAGGACGACCAGCCACACUGGGACUGAGACACGGCCCAGACUCCUACGGGAGGCAGCAGUGGGGAAUAUUGGACAAUGGGGGCAACCCUGAUCAGCGACGCCGCGUGUGUGAAGAAGGCCUGCGGGUUGUAAAGCACUUUUAGUGGGGACAAAAAGCCGAGGGCUAAUACUCUUCGGUCUUGAUUUAACCCAAAGAAAAAGCACCGGCUAACUCUGUGCCAGCCGCCGCCGUAAUAC